rnacentral:rRNA from 1 species
GAUGAACGCUGGCGGCGUGCUUAACACAUGCAAGUCGAACGGAAAGGCCCAAGCUUGCUUGGGUACUCGAGUGGCGAACGGGUGAGUAACACGUGGGUGAUCUGCCCUGCACUUCGGGAUAAGCCUGGGAAACUGGGUCUAAUACCGGAUAGGACGAUGGUUUGGAUGCCAUUGUGGAAAGUUUUUUCGGUGUGGGAUGAGCUCGCGGCCUAUCAGCUUGUUGGUGGGGUAAUGGCCUACCAAGGCGUCGACGGGUAGCCGGCCGGAGAGGGUGUACGGCCACAUUGGGAAUUAGGUACGGGCCAGACCCCUACGGGAGGCAGCAGUGGGGAAUAUUGCACAAUGGGCGCAAGCCUGAUGCAGCGACGCCGCGUGGGGGAUGACGGCCUUCGGGUUGUAAACUCCUUUCGCUAGGGACGAAGCGUUUUUGUGACGGUACCUGGAGAAGAAGCACCGGCUAACUACGUG